UUCAAAAGAAAAAGGAAAGAAAAAAAAAGGGGAUCCGGGAGAAACUUGGGUUGUUCGCCGCCGAUCUUGCCGGAGGAACUCGCCGGAGGUAAGGUGAGCACCCUCUUCUCCUCCUUCUUUAUCUUUGGGCCGUUAUUUCCUUGGGAUAUGGCCGGGAAGUUGCCGGAUUGAGAAGAACCGAACCUGCCCUCGGCGGCUUGGUUCCUUCUUCCGUUCCGGCCGGCCGUCGCCGGGCGUGGCACCACCGGCACUGCCAUAGGCCGACGACCAGGGG
rnacentral:lncRNA from 1 species